rnacentral:rRNA from 1 species
UACGUAGGUGGCAAGCGUUGUCCGGAUUUACUGGGCGUAAAGCGUGUGUAGGCGGACCUUUAAGUAGAACGUGAAAGGUAGGAGCUCAACUCCUACAUUGCUCUCUAUACUGGAGGUCUUGAGUGUCGGAGAGGAAGAUGGAACUGCACGUGUAGCGGUGAAAUGCGUUGAGAUGUGCAGGAACACCAAUGGCGAAGGCAAUCUUCUGGACGAAAACUGACGCUGAGACACGAAAGCCAAGGUAGCAAACAGG